rnacentral:rRNA from 1 species
CAAUAGCGUAUAUUAACGUUGUUGCAGUUAAAAAGCUCGUAGUUGGAUUUCUGGAGGGAGCGUCGGCCCGUAUUUACGAGUGCGUGACGUCUCUGUCCAUCCUUGCGGGAAGGCACGGCAUUGAUUUGUUGUGUCGGAUCGCAUCAUUUACUGUGAAAAAAUUAGAGUGUUCAAAGCAGGCUUUCGCUUGAAUACAUUAGCAUGGAAUAAUAAGAUAGGACUUUGGUGCUAUUUUGUUGGUUGAGCCUAAAGUAAUGAUUAAUAGGGAUAGUUGGGGGCACCUGUAUUGCGUUUUCAGAGGUGAAAUUCUUGGAUUUACGCAAGACAAACAGCUGCGAAAGCGUCUGCCAAGGAUGUUUUCAUUAG